rnacentral:misc_RNA from 1 species
GAUGAAGAACGUAGUGAAAUGCGAUAAUUAAUGUGAAUUGCAGAAUUCCGUGAAUCAUCGAGUCUUUGAACGCACAUUGCGCCUCAUGGCAUUCCGUGAGGCAUGCCCAUCUCAGCGUUAGAAAAUAUUCUCAAAUUUUAGUUUUGUGCUAAAAUUUGGAUCAUGUCAAGGAAGCUAUUACUAUUAUUGUGAUCGCUCUUUGGAAAUUGAUAGGUCUUUGAGUUGCUACUCAUAGAACGUGAUGAAUCUUUCUUCGUUCUAUUGUAAUUCACUCUGGUAGUCCUAAAACUUGUAUGCCUGUGGCAUAUCUUGUAAUUUGACCUGAGAUUGGGUAGGGAUACCCGCUGAACUUAAGUAUAUCAAUAAGCGGAGGA